GAGUUGCCUGCUAAGGGGUCAGAUGCUUCUUUUAUAUUCAGUUGUUACCUGCUGCCUGCAAAAUACACACAAUAAAGUAUAAAAAAUUCCUUUUAUCAUCAGGUAGUCUAAAUGUAAAGAAUACUCAGAAUACUGUGUUCAACUAAUAGAGUUUCAGUAGCAGAGAGGGUAUUUUCAGAAGUGCUAACAUCAGUUCAUGAAAGAUCUUCUGUUGAGAGAAGCAUGAAAAAGCCAUUCUGUCUUUGCACAAAAUGACUCCAGUAUUUGUGGUUAAACAGCUGCUCUCCCUUUUUUUAUGGUGGAACUCAUUAUUUUAUUUCCUUUUACAAAUAUUUGACGAAUUGAAGAACCACGUAGGCAAACAAUAAUUAUGGGUUCAGUAGUCUUUUUUCAGUUAGGAAUUUUCCUUUACUGACCUAUGAUAUAAAUUAUGACAUGAACACAAAAGACAUUCCAUCUUUGGAAGUCUGGUGGAGUUGGUUUUUCUCUCUCUCAUUUUCCUCAUUCCAGCCAGGCCUUUCUUAGUAAAGGAAAAUCUUAUCACCAUAUACUAUAUUUAUUUCCUCUAUAAACCAUUCUUGUGAUUAUUCCUCCAGCAUUACGACUAUAUAAUAUAGAUGUUCAUUUUCCCUAAAGGAGCAUGGAAAGAGGGUAUUUUGUGGGAGAACUUCUGAUGAGAAGAAGUUACUCAAGACUGCUCUCAUUCCAUCAUUAUACCUGACAUCUCUGUUACACAUUCCCAUGACCCCUGAGCCAAAAUUUAUAGGAACAUACCACUUCAUAUAUCCCUAGAAGUCACAUUAUAUUAAACAUUUAACAAUGUAUAAGUUAUGAAGUUUGAAAAAUGACAAGAAAGUGAGUAAAUUUUAUUUAUU